UACGAAGGGGGCUAGCGUUGCUCGGAAUCACUGGGCGUAAAGCGCACGUAGGCGGAUUGCUAAGUCAGGGGUGAAAGCCCGGGGCUCAACUCCGGAAUUGCCUUUAAGACUGCAUCGCUUGAAUCAUGGAGAGGUGAGUGGAAUUCCGAGUGUAGAGGUGAAAUUCGUAGAUAUUCGGAAGAACACCAGUGGCGAAGGCGACUCACUGGACAUGUAUUGACGCUGAGGUACGAAAGCGUGGGGAGCAAACAGG
rnacentral:rRNA from 1 species